GACAGAGUUAACAUUAUUAAUUUUUGCAUUUAUAAUUUAAUUUAUGAAAUAAUUAAUAUUCUUUAAAUGUGGAGCACGUUUUCACCUGGUUAUCGUCGAAGAUUAAAUUUAAAUUGAUUGCUGAGGAUACUAAAUUUAGAAGAGUGCAAUUCUCAAACCGUAUUAAAGAUGCUUUGUCAAGAAAUAAAGUAGUAAGGGAAAGAGUGUUUCCAGUUUGCUUUCCUUCAAAAAGUUCUCAUACUGGUCAUUUUACUAGAAAUUAUCUUGAUCCAGAUUACUUAAGGCCUUAAAUUUAAAUGCCUGCUCCUACUGAUGGUUUUGUUAUAUACUCGGUAUGUUCUUGUACUAUUCCUAAUAUAUGUAAUAUUGUUCAUACAAACUUCAAUAUUUUCACCAGGGGUGGGUUUUGUCACUCACCAAGGAGGUGGCUAAAAUGGUUUUUAAAAAAAAAAGGUCUGCAUUUUUCACUUAAAAGUGACUUUUUUUAACUUUUUGUACUUUAGUGUAAUAAUCAAGUUCAUAUAUGUAUAAUUACCUAUAAUAGUCAAUUACCUAUAAUAGUCAAUCCCGAUGGGGGGUGGGGGCAACUACCCCCAUGCCCACUCUAAAACUCGCCACUGAUUUUCACAGUCUGCUGAAGCUAUUAAGUGUAUCAAUGAAGAGAACUGAUCUAUCAAUCAUUUUUACAGCAAUCAAUAAAAUAUCUCAUUGGAAGUAGGAAGAAGGAAGCUUGUACUAUUGUAAAAUAAAAUGAUAUCUGUUUCUGUAGCAUUAUAUAUAUUAAAGUGUACUUUAUUUUAGAUCAAAUUGCAUGAUUUCACAUUUAUCCUUAUUAAAACUGAUUAGCCUUUUUUUUCCCAGUUAAAUAAGAU